rnacentral:tRNA from 1 species
UUAAUUGAAACCAAAAUAGAGGUAUAUCACUGUUAAUGAUAAAACUGGAAAUUAAUACUCCCAAUUAAA